rnacentral:lncRNA from 1 species
CCGGAGAGAUCAGCUCAUCUCCUGCCUACGUACCUCAUCUGGUAUGAGGAUCAGGGCGACGUAGUUCCCCUACGCAGGGAAAGAACUUCUAACCUAACCAGAGACUGGGAAAUGACAAACUAGAAGGGAGUCUGACUCGAGCCUAAUAGUUAUCAUGUAAAUUCACCAUGGUCCUAGGUUAAGGUUUCUAUCUAACUUGCACAGAGAGCAAGCUAUCCUAAAC